rnacentral:rRNA from 1 species
UACGUAGGGCGCAAGCGUUAUCCGGAAUUACUGGGCGUAAAGAGCUCGUAGGUGGUUUGUCGCGUUGUUCGUGAAAACUCACAGCUCAACUGUGGGCCUGCAGUGGGUACGGGCAGACUAGAGUGCGGUAGGGGAGACUGGAAUUCCUGGUGUAGCGGUGAAAUGCGCAGAUAUCAGGAAGAACACCCGUGGCGAAGGCGGCUCUCUGGAACGCAACUGACGCUGAGACGCGAAAGCGUGGGGGAGCAAACAGG